rnacentral:rRNA from 1 species
ACACGCAUGACACACUGCAUAUCAAUAAGCGGAGGAAAAGAAACUAACAAGGAUUCCCUUAGUAACGGCGAGUGAAGCGGGAAGAGCUCAAAUUUGAAAUCUUCAAGGUUCUACCUUGACGAAUUGUAGUUUAUAGAAGUGUUUUCUGUUAGUGGAGUGGCAAAAGUUCUUUGGAAUAGGACAUCAUAGAGGGUGAGAAUCCCGUAUUUGGUCAUUCCUCCUAGCGUUGUGAUACACUUUCAACGAGUCGGAUUGUUUGGGAAUGCAGUCCAAAAUGGGUGGUAAAUUUCAUCUAAAGCUAAAUAUUGGCGAGAGACCGAUAGCGAACAAGUACCGUGAGGGAAAGAUGAAAAGAACUUUGAAAAGAGAGUUAAACAGUACGUGAAAUUGUCAAAAGGGAAGCGUUUGACACCAGUGUUGUUUUUCCGAAAAUCAAUUACGAAUGUUUUAUUUUUGAGGAGUUAUGACUUCAUCGGCUUGCUCCUCUCUUUAUGAAACUUUCUUAAUGCACUUUUCGGUUAACAAGUCAACAUCAAUUUCUUUUGUUGUAAAAGGGUAUGAGGAAGGUGGCUUUCUUUUCGGAGAAAGUGUUUAUAGCCUUGUAGCCUCUGCAAUCGGAGAGAUUGAGGUCUGCAGCGUAGAUCCUUCGGGGUUAGAUACAGUUUGUGCUAAGUUAUAGCUUUUCAUAGACAACUUGUUGACUAUGUUUAGUCUUGUAGCUUACUCGCUUAUGCUAUUUUACCUACGCUUAGGAUGUUGACUGAUAUGUAGUCGUA